rnacentral:rRNA from 1 species
CGAAAGCCUGACGGAGCAAGACCGCGUGAGGGAGGAAGGCUCUUGGGUUGUAAACCUCUUUUCUCAGGGAAGAAGCUCUGACGGUACCUGAGGAAUCAGCCUCGGCUAACUCCGUGCCAGCAGCCGCGGUAAUACGGAGGAGGCAAGCGUUAUCCGGAAUUAUUGGGCGUAAAGCGUCCGCAGGUGGUCUGGCAAGUCUGCUGUCAAAGACCGGGGCUUAACUCCGGAAAGGCAGUGGAAACUGCGAGACGAGAGUGCGGUAGGGGUAGAGGGAAUUCCCAGUGUAGCGGUGAAAUGCGUAGAGAUUGGGAAGAACACCGGUGGCGAAAGCGCUCUACUGGGUCGCACCUGACCCUCAGGGACGAAAGCUAAGGUAGCG